CAAAUUGAAUGUCUUCGAGGGGAAAAAAAAUGAAUGUCUUAAUAAGAUUGUCUAACUUCAGAAGAAAAAAAACUACCUUAUGAGAUAGUGGAAGUCUCAUCCUAGCUUCAUGCUACAAAGGAGCUCGCAUGUUAUUGUAAGGAAAGGUGAACAGGGUUAUAUAGGCAUGUGGGUACUAAAAUAAACUUAAUUCAUACAUUUUUAUAUACAAAGAAAUAAUAAUUAGCCAAUUAUAUUUUAAAGGAAAAACUAAAUCUUAUUUUGUUUUUAAAAAUUUUCAUUUUUCUUUCUGUUUCCAAUUUCAUACUUGAAAAGCAGGGAGAAAAAGGAACAGAAAUCCUGCCGUUACUGCAUCCCUUUUGAGGGAGUUAUCAAUGAUAACAUAUUGCAUCAACCCAAGAAAACAAGGCAAAAAUACACAUACACUGUGAACUUGUAAAACAGAUCAGAGACAAAAGCUCACAUAAUCCAAAUCAAACAUAAGAUAAAAGCACUGCAUAGAACAACCCCUGUUUUCUUAAAAAAUGCUUAUAGAUUGUUGUAUCCAAUGUUUCCUUAUAAUAUCUUAUACAUGAUAUUCUCAGUGCUGAGUUCCUUAGUCACAAUAAUCCAAUGUUAUCACAUAGACCCUUCAAUUUUAGUUGUAGCCUGUGGGAUUUCAACUUCAUG
rnacentral:misc_RNA from 1 species